rnacentral:rRNA from 1 species
AUAACAUAUUGAACCGCAUGGUUCAUUAGUGAAAGGCGGCUUUGCUGUCACUUAUAGAUGGAUCCGCGCCGUAUUAGCUAGUUGGUAAGGUAACGGCUUACCAAGGCAACGAUACGUAGCCGACCUGAGAGGGUGAUCGGCCACACUGGAACUGAGACACGGUCCAGACUCCUACGGGAGGCAGCAGUAGGGAAUCUUCCGCAAUGGGCGAAAGCCUGACGGAGCAACGCCGCGUGAGUGAUGAAGGUCUUCGGAUCGUAAAACUCUGUUAUCAGGGAAGAACAAAUGUGUAAGUAACUGUGCACAUCUUGACGGUACCUGAUCAGAAAGCCACGGCUAACUACGUGCCAGCAGCCGCGGUAAUACGUAGGUGGCAAGCGUUAUCCGGAAUUAUUGGGCGUAAAGCGCGCGUAGGCGGUUUUUUAAGUCUGAUGUGAAAGCCCACGGCUCAACCGUGGAGGGUCAUUGGAAACUGGAAAACUUGAGUGCAGAAGAGGAAAGUGGAAUUCCAUGUGUAGCGGUGAAAUGCGCAGAGAUAUGGAGGAACACCAGUGGCGAAGGCGACUUUCUGGUCUGUAACUGACGCUGAUGUGCG